rnacentral:rRNA from 1 species
UUUAAGCGGCUACACCUAAAAUUAUAUCUUAAUCCAACAUCGAGGUCGCAAUCUUUUUUAUCGAUAUGAACUCUCCAAAAAAAUUACGCUGUUAUCCCUAAAGUAACUUGUUUUUUUAAUCGCUAAUAACGGAUCAAUUAUUCAUAAAUUAAUGAUUUAAACAAUUAAAAGUUUAUUAAAUUUUAAUAUCACCCCAAUAAAAUAUAAUCUAUUAUCAUAACAAAAAAAAUCUACAAAAUUAUAAUAAUAUAAAUAUAAAGAUUUAUAGGGUCUUCUCGUCUUUUAAAUAAAUUUUAGCUUUUUGACUAAAAAAUAAAAUUCUAUUAUAAAUUUUUAUGAAACAGUUAAUAUCUCGUCCAACCAUUCAUACCAGCCUUCAAUUAAAAGACUAAUGAUUAUGCUACCUUUGCACAGUUAGUAUACUGCGGCCAUUUAAAAAAAAAUU